UAUAAUAAUAAUGAUACUAAGCGUACAUUGUAAAGAAAUAUAUAGCACUAAAAAUUAAAUAUAAAAAAUAUAUAAAUAUGAAUGAAAUAAAAAUAAUGAAAUCAUUAAAAAAUAUUUAUUUUACUAGUGCGAUAUUUGUUUCUCCACUCUUUCACUUAGCUUUUGCAAAUCGAUCUCAAUUUGGGUAUUUGCACAUCGUAAUUGGUGUUGCAGGUUAGCGUCCAUUAUGUUUGAGCGUGUUUUGUGUUUGGUCAAUUUCAUUUUCGAAAAAAACGAUUCGCAGGUGUAAGUUGAACCAAAAGCGCUAACAACUUUUUGUGCCAGAUUUCUCAAAUUGGAAAAUUUCU